CCUUCUUUUGUCGCAUCAAUAGUCUUAAAAGUCAUCGGGGAAAGUCCAUUCCAUCACGAGAGAAUGGAGGACAUUGGAAAAAGUGUGGACUUUCCCUGUCAGAGCCAGCUAAUUCAGAAAUACCAGCCAUCCAUCAAAAUGAGCUGGACCAAAGAUGAUGAAACCUUGAGCACACCACCCCACGGAUACGAUUAGACGCAGGGGGCAAUCUUCACAUAUCUGAGCUACAAGAAGAUGAUGCAGAGGA